CCUACGGGCGGCUGCAGUGAGGAAUAUUGGUCAAUGGGCGCGAGACUGAACCAGCCAAGUAGCGUGAAGGAUGACUGCCCUACGGGUUGUAAACUUCUUUUAUAAAGGAAUAAAGUGAGGCCCGGGUGCCUUUUUGUAUGUACUUUAUAAAUAAGGAUCGGCUAACUCCGUGCCAGCAGCCGCGGUAAUACGGAGGAUCCGAGCGUUCUCCGGAUUUAUUGGGUUUAAAGGGAGCGUAGAUGGGUUGUUAAGUCAGUUGUGAAAGUUUGCGGCUCAACCGUAAAAUUGCAAUUGAUACUGGCAGUCUUGAGUACAGUUGAGGUAGGCGGAAUUCGUGGUGUAGCGGUGAAAUGCUUAGAUAUCACGAAGAACUCCGAUUGCGAAGGCAGCUUACUAAACUGCCACUGACAUUGAUGCUCGAAAGUGUGGGUAUCAAACAGGAUUAGAUACCCGUGUAGUC
rnacentral:rRNA from 1 species